rnacentral:rRNA from 1 species
CCCUUAGAUGCUCUGGGCCGCACGCGCGCUACACUGGUCGAUGCAACGAGUUUCUUUCCUUGGCCGACAGGCCUGGGCAAUCUUUGAACAUUGAUCGUGAUCGGGAUAGAUUCUUGUAAUUUUUGAUCUUAAACGAGGAAUUCCUAGUAAACGCAAGUCAUCAGCUUGCAUUGAUUACGUCCCUGCCCUUUGUACACACCGCCCGUCGCACCUACCGAUUGAAUGGUCCGGUGAAAUCUCCGGACUGGCGUGAGUCGGAGCAAUCUGACAAACACCGGAAAGUUGAUUAAACCUUACCAUUUAGAGGAAGGUGAAGUCGUAACA